ACCCCCUGGCAAUGUCAAGGAGACAUCUGAUUGGUGGGGUUGCUCUUACAUCAGUCAGGGCAAAGCAGAGGUACAAAUCCUCAGUUCAUCCUAGCUUGAUGUCUAUGUCGGUGCUCAGAGCUGUUUCAUGCCUGGGACAUAUAA
rfam:Myotis lucifugus cont2.25136, whole genome shotgun sequence.